CCUACGGUGGGCUGCAGUGGGGAAUAUUGCUCAAUGGGGGAAACCCUGAAGCAGCGACGCCGCGUGAAUGAUGAAGGUUUUAGGAAUGUAAAGCUCUUUUUGCAGAGAAGAUAAUGACGGUACCUGACUAAUAAGCCCCGUCUAACUCCGUGCCAGCAGCCGCGGUAAUACGGAGGGUGCAAGCGUUAUUCGGAUUUACUGGGCGUAAAGCGUGCGUAGACGGGAUCGCAAGUCAGGUGUGAAAUCCUGUGGCUGAACCACAGAACUGCAUUGGAAACUAUGAAUCUAGAGUGCAGGAGAGGUAGGUGGAAUUCGUGGUGUAGGGGUGAAAUGCGUAGAUAUUAAGAGGAACACCGAUUGCGAAGGCGGCUUACUGGAAUAUAACUGACGUUGAGGCACGAAAGCGUGGGGAGCAAACAGGAUUAGAUACCCUAGUAGUC
rnacentral:rRNA from 1 species